UCGAGAAUCUUCGGCAAUGGGCGCAAGCCUGACCGAGCGACGCCGCGUGCGGGAUGAAGGCCUUCGGGUUGUAAACCGCUGUCGGAGGGGAGGAAAUGCGCGGGGGUUCUCCCUCGCGUUUGACCUAGCCUCAAAGGAAGGACGGGCUAAGUUCGUGCCAGCAGCCGCGGUAAGACGAACUGUCCAACCGGUACUAGGAAUUACUGGGCUUAAAGGGGGCGUAGGCGGCUCUGAAAGUUGGGUGUGAAAGCCCCCGGCUGAACCGAGGAGGGUCGCCCAAAACGCAUGAGCUUGUGUGAGACAGAGGUGCGCGGAACUUCCGGUGGAGCGGUGAAAUGCGUUGAUAUCGCGAGGAACACCAGGGGCGAAAGCGGCGCACUGGUACUUUUCUGACGCUGAGGCACGAAAGUUAGGGGAGCGAAGAG
rnacentral:rRNA from 1 species